CCAAUAGCGUAUAUUAAAGUUGUUGCAGUUAAAAAGCUCGUAGUUGAAUUUCGGGAUUCUAUCGUUGGUCGGGCUAUUGUCUGUACUGGCGUGUAGAAUUUCUACCUUCUGGGGAACUAUCAUGUCAUUAAUUUAGCGUGGUAGGAAACCAGGACCUUUACCUUGAAAAAAUUAGAGUGUUCAAAGCAGGCUUAUGUCUGAAUACAUUAGCAUGGAAUAAUAAAAUAGGACGGUGGUCCUGUUUUGUUGGUUUCUGAAUCACCGUAAUGAUUAAUAGGGAUAGUUGGGGGCAUUAGUAUUCAAUUGUCAGAGGUGAAAUUCUUGGAUUUAUUGAAGACUAACUACUGCGAAAGCAUUUGCCAAGGAUGUUUUCAUUAAUCAAGAACGAAAGUUAGGGGAUCGAAGACGAUCAGAUACCGUCGUAGUCUUAACCAUAAACUAUGCCAACUAGGGAUCGGACGAUGUUAACUUUUCUUGACUCGUUCGGCGCCUUACG
rnacentral:rRNA from 1 species